GCCUGUGAGUCAUAGUGGUUCGAGCAUUGGAUUAUGACUCUAGAGACCAGGGUUCGAUUCCCAGUGUGGCCA